rnacentral:ncRNA from 1 species
UCCAUGGUGACGUGGAAUCUGAAGGAAGCUCGAGGCAUACCUCUGGUCUGACGAACAGAAAUCAUAUAAGAGGCAACGUAUGAGGAUAAGACUGCGAAAGAAGUUAAAGUCCAAUAACUACAGUUUCAUACGGUGUAUAUGUGGCAGAUAGAUGGAGGGAAAGAGUUCACA